GUAUCUGUUAAGGCAUAGAUGCUCCGACAGGUAGAGUAGAAAGUAAAUUCGUUAGGGUAAAAACUGAAGUUGUAUGACUUCAGUUUUUU
rnacentral:ncRNA from 18 species